UAAUACCGGCGGCUCGAGUGGUGGCCACUAUUACUGGGCUUAAAGCGUUCGUAGCUGGGUUGUUAAGUCUCUUGGGAAAUCCACCGGCUCAACCGAUGGGCGACCAGGGGAAACUGGCAUUCUAGGGACCGGGAGAGGUGAGAGGUACUCCAGGGGUAGGAGUGAAAUCCUGUAAUCCUUGGGGGACCACCGAUGGCGAAGGCAUCUCACCAGAACGGCUCCGACAGUGAGGAACGAAAGCUGGGGGAGCAAACCGG
rnacentral:rRNA from 1 species